UGGGCAACCUGCCCCAGACUCUGGGAUAACUCCGGGAAACCGGGGCUAAUACCGGAUACUCCGGUCGAACCUCAUGGUUCGAUCGGGAAAGCUCCGACGGUCUGGGAUGGGCCCGCGGCCUAUCAGCUUGUUGGCGAGGUAACGGCUCACCGAGGCAACGAUGCGUAGCCGACCUGAGAGGGUGAUCGGCCACAUUGGAAUUGAGACACGGUCCAGACUCCUAGUGGGAGGCAG
rnacentral:rRNA from 1 species